rnacentral:rRNA from 1 species
GGGUUUGAUCCUGGCCCCGCCCGAACGCAAGCAAGCGGUUUUACACAUGCGAGUGGUACCGGUUCUGCGGAUUAAAGGAAUUUCUUUCUCUUUAUAGAAAAAGCAAACCACUGGUGGUUUGCUUUUGCGGAAUUGGUCGCGUCCGGGUGCGUGAUAAUCGGUAUUCUACCAACCUGCGGGGAAAUCCCCGGAACAAUCAAACUCAAACUCUAAAGAGUUUGUUUGGGAUUGUUUAGGCAUAGUCCGGGGUUUGAGGAAACCGGUUCGGAUUAGGUUGUUGGGGCGGUAACAGCGCCCCAAGCCCUUGAUCCGGAGCUUCCCUCAGCGGGGGGAUAGCCACAGCGGGACUGAAACAAGGCCCGUCCGCAUUAGCGGCAGCAGUGAAGAAUCUUUGACACUGGGCGCAGGCCCGAUCGAGCCAGCUUGCGAGGAGAACAUCCCGAGUGCGGGAUGCUUAGAUGGAAGGCCAACGCGUCGAAACCUCCAUUGUCGUUUUGUCAGAACAGAGACAUAUCAAAACGAAGCGCCCCGGCCAAUCCUGUGCCAGCAGCCGCGGUAAGACAGGAGGGGCGAGCGUUGGGCGUAUGGACUGGGCCUAAAGCGCGGGUAGGUGGUGAAAAGUCCUUUGUCUAUAGGCCCCCGAUGGUCCGGGGCAAGUAGUCUAAAGACCUUUUCACUGGGGUAGAAACCAGGGUUGGGGAACAGCCCAAGGACCGGUGGAAUGGAAGCAGAUGGGUUUGAACGCCGACGGCGAAGGCACCAACCUGGUUUCUGACCGACGCCCAGCCGCGGAAGCGUGGGGAGCCAAUGGGAUUAGAGACCCCAGUAGUCCACGCCGUCAACCAUGGGUGGGAAGCAAAUGCAAACACCAACUGUUCGCGUUUGUUUCAGCCAAAAGCGGCACCACCUCGCCUGGGGAGUAAUGUCGCAAGGCAGAAACUCAAAGGCAUAGACCGCCGGGCAGACCGGCGGUGGAACAUCGCGGUUUAAUGCGAUACAACGCGCAAAACCUUACCACCCCUUGACAUGCAAACAAAUACCGC